rnacentral:rRNA from 1 species
UACGUAGGGUGCAAGCGUUGUCCGGAUUUAUUGGGCGUAAAGAGCGUGUAGGCGGCUUUACAGGUCCGUUGUGAAAACUCGAGGCUCAACCUCGAGACGCCGGUGGAAACCGUAAAGCUAGAGUCCGGAAGAGGAGAGUGGAAUUCCUGGUGUAGCGGUGAAAUGCGUAGAUAUCGGGAGGAACACCUGUGGCGAAGGCGGCCCCCUGGUUGGAUACUGACGCUGAUACGCGAAAGCGUGGGGAGCAAACAGG